AGAGUUUGAUCAUGGCUCAGGAUGAACGCUAGCGGCAGGCCUAAUACAUGCAAGUCGAACGGUAAAUAUUUAGCAAUAGAUAUGAGAGUGACGCACGGGUGCGUAACACGUAUGCAACCUACCCUUUACAGGAGUAUAGCUCGGGGAAACUCGAAUUAACCCUUCAUAGUAUAAUUGAAUGGCAUCAUUUGGUUAUUAAAUCGCAAGAGGUAAAGGAUGGGCAUGCGUCUGAUUAGCUAGUUGGUGGUGUAAUGGACCACCAAGGCGAUGAUCAGUAGGGGAACUGAGAGGUUGAUCCCCCACACUGGCACUGAGAUACGGGCCAGACUCCUACGGGAGGCAGCAGUAGGGAAUAUUGGUCAAUGGGUGAGAGCCUGAACCAGCCAUGCCGCGUGCAGGAAGACGGCCUUCUGGGUUGUAAACUGCUUUUGUCAGGGGAUAAAAUUUCCUUGCGAGGAAAAUUGAAGGUACCUGGCGAAUAAGCCACGGCUAACUACGUGCCAGCAGCCGCGGUAAUACGUAGGUGGCAAGCGUUGUCCGGAUUUAUUGGGUUUAAAGGGUGCGUAGGCGGCCCUGUAAGUCAGUGCUGAAAUAUCCCGGCUUAACCGGGAGGGUGGCAUUGAUACUGCGGGGCUAGAGUACAGAUGAGGUAGGCGGAAUUGACGGUGUAGCGGUGAAAUGCUUAGAUAUCGUCAAGAACACCUAUAGCGAAGGCAGCUUACUAGGCUGUAACUGACGCCGAGGCACGAAAGUGUGGGGAUCAAACAGGAUUAGAUACCCUGGUAGUCCACACUGUAAACGUUGAUUACUCGCUGUGUGCGAUAUACAGUACGCGGCCAAGCGAAAGCGCUAAGUAAUCCACCUGGGGAGUACGCCGGCAACGGUGAAACUCAAAUGAAUUGACGG
rnacentral:rRNA from 1 species